ACGGAGGUGUCAAUGGGUGAGUAUGGAGGGAUGCUGAAAGAGGAAUAAAGCCAAGGACCCAUCUUCACAUGGGGUGGGGUAGCGGUGGAAGGCAGCCCUAUGGGACGGGGCAGAUGUUGAAAGGACGAUGAUUUAUUAGCCUUGGUGUCCUUGGUGGCACUUGGCCACCAUCCCAGAAUUAGUGAGUGAGAGUCAGAGACAUGGGGAACAAGCAAAAGGGGAGGGCAGUCAUGAGACAUCUUAAUUCCUUCUACGGGCAUGGGGUGCCUCUUGCUCUCCGACCGUCAUGGUAUUUCAGCCCAAUUCUCUUGGAGAAAAUUAAGGUCAUCACUGAGCUUGUCCAGCAAAAUAUCUCCCCAAAAGACUUCUCACUGCUACCUCAGCCCUGAUACUGCCAUUUUUCCACUGCAAGGUAUCGUGUCUAUGUUUCAACCUCCAAAGAGGUCCUUAGGAAAUGCUCCCCUCCUCCCCAAAAAACGAAAACGCACACUGAACGCAUCAUUUGGAAUGAGACAUGCAAACAAACAGCAGCAAUGACAGAGAACAAGGGUCUCCUGUAUUUACGUAACGGCCUGUUUAUUUAAAAGGAGACUGACGGCACCAAGAGGGGACCACUGCCGCAAAGUCAAGACUAUAAGGCACAGCAGCAGGAUAAGCUCACAUUAGCAUAUUUGUUUCUUCGGUAUCGUAUUAGCUGACUCGUGAUUUGAGAUAGUCUCUUCUACUAUUAUGUGGAAAACACUAUUCUUGUUUGAUUCAAUUCACCACUAUAUGGUCUUGUUUAGAAUUUGACUACUGUUUGCUCUCCUUCCGGCAACAUUUAAUCUUGGAAUUUGUUUUGCCGUCUUAUAACACAGGCCUCCACAGACAAACUGUAGGAGGGCUUACUUAAAGUAGAAGUGGGAGGGGGGGGGGUUUGACAGCUUUCAUCAAGAGUACCCAGGGGGGAAGAUUGAUUGGCAAAGUAAUUUACUGCCCAGUGUCCAUUCUCUUCUGACUCCCUUGCCCUUCUACUGGUUCAUCUAUCCAUCCAUUCAAAGGCUUCCAACUACUUGCAAACACCUGCUGCCUGGAGGUGAAGGUCUCGUUGGGAGUGAGUCAUGUUGAGUGCAUGCGUGUCAUGAUGGCGUGCACGUCAUUUUUAAAGGCUGAAGUUGUACUCACCACUGGUCCAGAUGAAGAAGACGUAUUGUCUCAGGGUUGACAAGACGGAGGGGCUUUUGACAUAAGUGAAAGCGAGGGUCAUCUAUCACUUAGAGUGCAGAAGUGAGGAAGAGCCGGAGGAAAAGUCAAAUGAGAGCAGAAAAGAGGUUGUAGGGGUUACUUCUGCACAACUCUGACUGGCUGUCAUCAUCAUGAUCGCGACUGACCACUCAAUGCUGUCCACUUCAGCCCACCAUGACUGCUCACCCUUCACCAGCUUCCUUCCAAAGGGCCCCCGGAAACUUUUUUUCCGUUCAUCAGCACAACAAAUACAUACAGAUGCUCCAGGAAGAAGAACAAGGGGAGAGAGGAUUUCUAAGCAGAGCCUCCUUAGUUAAACAUCACUGUUGAUUUGAAGUCAAUCCGCUUCUUUGUAAACAAACACAAUUCUGAGUAGCUCAUGCGAGAAGGGCUCUCAUUAUUCAAUGUAAACGUGGACAAUUAAGUGUUUUAAGGGGACAUUAGUGAUCUGCGCUUUUCCUUCCUCGGUGCACUACAGUAUGGAAAAAGGAGAGUAAAUAGCAUGCGACAAUGACGCAGACAUCAAUGAGUAAUGAGAAACCGACAUGCCAGUGGGACCGAGGGAAAUGCUGGAUGUGCUGAUUUACCUGUCAUCUCUGAGGGAGCAUGUUUGAGAAAUUGUCCUGAUGGCAAACGUCAGCAUGGCCUCUCAAUAAUCAAUUUUAAUUUAAUCAAAGCUUUGAUGACUUCAUGUGCUACAUUCAGGUUAAUGACUUUUGCCACUACAAUGUGUUGAUCAGCAAAAAUCUAUUUAGCUCAUAGGUUAGGGCCAGGGUAUUUCCAAAUUGAAGACUUUUACAGUCGAGUGAGUGCAGACUAAUUACAAAUGUCUCGCAUUUUUUACGAGGUUUUAAAUUAAAAAAGAUAAACUAUGUCGUUUGUAUAUGCCGUUUUGAAGACUUUUGAAUGGCAGCUUUGGAGAGUAAGCAUUAUUUUUUGAGAAUGGCUGUCAUUUUGUAAAAUCCAAUUUGAAACGUUUUCAUAUGAUGUAUAUCCAAUGACUAUUGGUAAUAUAUGAGUAUGGCCUGUUGGGAGCAGAAUAGCAGGACAAUGACUGAGUAUAGGGGACGUGGGAAGAUGGUCCAGGGGUCACAAAGACUGGCACACAGAUUCCUCAACCCGCGCCAUCACCAAUUUUUCCUUUUUUUUUUUAAUGGCUCAAAGGACUGUUUUCUUCUCACUCCCAUGAAUUAUGUAAAUGGAAAAAGCUUCCCUUUCUUCCCAGGCUGGAAGAAGACAGGAAAAGGGAUGAAGCAACGUGAGCGAAACGCCUCCUCCUCAAUUUUUUUUUGUCUUGCUCGCGUUGCGUCCGAAUGAGCUUUCAUGUUGGUGCCGUGGGCCUGGAUUUUGCUCUGUGGCCAUGAGAAAGGACGAUGAUGGCCACUGAGUUGGUGGAGGGGCGGUGGUGGGGGUGUCUACGCACAAUGACAUAUACGAGGAAAGAAUGCUGGCCUUGUUGUUGGACAGCUUGACAUUGAUUAAUGAGAUAGAGAGAGGAGAAAAUAAGAGAGAGGGGUGGCACUGGUUGGGUAUGCUCUACAAGGGGGAAAGGGGGGAGUUGGACUCCCUUUAGGGUUAGAGACUCCGGAAGAGCCUUCGGCUGUGCUGCCGAUGAGGAAGAAACUUGCUGUGGUGGUGCACGGCCCAUCCCCACGUUUGGUGCAUCUUCCCUCGGCCUGAAGGAUCGUCUGCACAUGAAGGCGCGCAUUUCAACGGGAGACGCAUCAAUCCUCAUCCAUCAAAGUGCCCUUUAAAAGCUGCCACCACCACCACCACUUUCAUCAUCAUCAUCAGGAGUUGUUUUGUUGGCACUUCUCCAUACACACUUAAGAAGCUCAGCUGCUUUCUGGCAGCAGAACUCAGCAAAGCACUAAAUGUGUUUUAAAUAGUCUGUCACCAUGUUCUGUAGGAGAUGCAUUGGCUUGCUGUGAAUACUUGCUGCUAUAAAUAAGAGAUGAGCAGAUGAGACGUCGGCAUGAUCAACUCUGAAAUUGGGAGUGGAGAGAGCAGGGGCGGCAUGUCCCAUAUUGGUAUGGGGCCUGCUCGCAACAACCGCUGUCUCUGGCCAAGUGGGAUUUCAAAGCCUCUCCUGGAUGUCCCUGAACCCUUUUGUCUCCGCUCUCAUCUAUAGGACAUGGCUCGGAAGAAUUUGGUGAUGACGGGUCACGUGUCAAGCGUGACCGCUUCUCGUCUCCAUGAGGACGAGUACACACAAAUACACAGUGCAUCAGGCGUGCAGGAAACCAAAACAAUAGAGCCACGAUGGCAAGCCUGUAUUCCUCCCUCCCUCUCUAACGCACCUAAGAUGAGAAGAGAAAGAUGCAAGGUUGGCUGCAGCCUGAACAAGCCUAAUUAAGUUUAGUUAACUUAGCUCAGAGACUUCUAUUUCACGCGUGUGCUCUUACAUAGACACACACACACUUGGGCACAUAUGCACACACACUCAGUUUGGCUCACUCCCUUUCUCUAUUAACACCUGCUUCUUUUCCAAUUAGCCCCCCCUCCCUUCCAAAUAGAGACAAAUGGGCCAGUGGGGUCUGAUUAAUUCACUUCUGUCAAGGACUCUGAACAAUGCCAUCACGGCACUCACACAAGCGUGGACAUGUGCACAAGCGCACACACAGACACACACUCAAGCACACACACAUAUACAGACUACGACUAACCACAUGACAUCACACUGCAGUACUGACUAGAAUGGCACUCAGAAGAGCACAGAUCGCAACUGAGGCUGAACAACCCUAACUUGGAUCAGCUCCAGACAGUAGGGCUUCUCACCUCCUGUAAAGUAGUCCCUUUUGGGGCAGGGAAGUAGUCGAUUGAUCGAUCAUCAUAUCAACUAUGUACAGGAUAGGGAAUGUGUCAUGAUGGUAGAAAGUGUGUGCUACGAUGGUGAGAAAAGAUGAGUGACAGUUCAAAUAAUAAAAAAGGAAAUAAUGUAAAAAAAACUACAAUAAAUAAAUUGGUUUUGCCAUCAAUAGCCCUUUUUUGAUC